UACGAAGGGGGCUAGCGUUGCUCGGAAUUACUGGGCGUAAAGCGCACGUAGGCGGAUUGGUCAGUUAGGGGUGAAAUCCUGGAGCUCAACUCCAGAACUGCCUUUGAUACUGAAGAUCUUGAGUUCGGGAGAGGUGAGUGGAACUGCGAGUGUAGAGGUGAAAUUCGUAGAUAUUCGCAAGAACACCAGUGGCGAAGGCGGCUCACUGGCCCGAUACUGACGCUGAGGCACGAAAGCGUGGGGAGCAAACAGG
rnacentral:rRNA from 1 species